UAACCAGACACACCAAACCACUCGCUCUCUUUCCCACAGGCCAUGAGGGAGGCAGUGGAGGUGUGGGGGGUCCAGCACGCCAUCAUAGACAACCUGCAUUUCAUCAGCAAAUGAAUUAAUGAAGUAUGAGAGGACCAAGCAGGUGGUGGACAGCCUCAAGGGGAAUGAGGAGACCCUCCGUGGUGCCGUGGCUGACUGUGAAGGAAAAUUAAAGAAGCAAGAACAAAAAUUCCUUGAAUUCCAAAAGCAUGCCGAGGAGAAAAUACAAAUGUAAGUUUUACGUUUGAUAAUGAGAUACAGCAAUAGCUGAGUAUGUUGAAAAGGGAAAAAAACAAAAAAACUUUUCUAUUUAAUAUUUAGAUGGAGCUUUAACGGAAAUAUUUUAAUUUUGGGGAGUUUCUCAUUUUUUAUCUCUUUCAUACCUUUAGGUGGAGGUUUUUAGAUUUUGGGAAGAGAUGUUUGUUUAUUUUUUUGAAAGGUAAUUGUGCUUUUGUGGCUCAAGAGGAAAAAGAAUAAAGGAAAUUGACUCAUUUAAUGAAAUGGAAUGUCUAACAAGAAAAGCUCUCCUUAGAAUGGUAGAUUAUGACGAGACACUGUGUGUGUGUGUGUGUGUUCACACGUGCAUGCAUUUGUGGAUAUGUGCAUGCAUGUGUCAAACACUACUAUAUUGGAAUCCAGAAUUGACAAAAUGGAAAGAAAUUGUAAUUAUUUCCCUACAAAAAGGACACACAAUUAUUGACUACAUAGAUAUUGGACACUUUGCAAGAGACAAGUGUGUAUGCAUUAAUAAUCAUCACACAAUUAUUAAAAGAAUUGAGAGAGAAAUCUUUAAUAUUGCAAAAGUAAAUUAGGAUUAGUAAAAUCAAAAGUUGGGAAAGUUCCCUCCUAUACUUAUCCUUCUUCAGCCUUGUAGGUGCAGUCAUCAAAUGAAAUACCUGCUUUUGUGUGAGCUUGUAUCCUGUGUAAGGUGUCUACAUCCCAGUGUGAUGCAUGUCAUGACAGUGUAGGAGGCAUCCUCUGUUCAUUCCAGUACUAGGCACCAUAUUGAGGAACUACUUUAAUAAAUGCUGAAGAUAGGAAGAUCCUUUUCUUUGUUGGCUGUGCACUCUUCAGGAUUAUUUUGGGUUUAUCCUUGUAUGAUACAGAAAUAACAAGUUACAUGGGAAUCAUUAACAGUAUCCCAUUGUGGAGAUUGGCUGAAGCAGCUUAGAAAUAAUCCCCAGUCCUUGCAAGACCACAAAGAACACUGUAGCUGAGAAAAGAAAAUUGUAUCUGCUUUACGCUGCCGUUGGCAAGCCGAGUGUAAUAACUCUGGCUUCCUGUAAGACUCUUAUUACACAUACAUAGUUCUCUAAGUUUAUGCACAGACAUCAUGCAAUUCUUAUUAUUCUUUGUUGAAUCUGUUGAAAAUUUGUGCCUUAUGCCAUGCAGAUCAGAGAAAUAUUAAAGAUGUGUAUUGCCACAAUUCAUGAUUGCAGUCAGACCGACCUGUCUUUGAUGUGGCAAACUGAGGGAGGGAAUAAAGCAGAUGUGUGCUGCUGCCCCUGGUAGUGGCUGACAGCUGUUGUGGGACUACUACAGCUGCUACUAACAUGGCUGUACUGGAGGGACAAUAGUACUUGCAUGUUGUAUCCCUUAGAUUUUUCAACUUCAUGUAAACUAUGGUUUCAUUUUUCUUAUAACUAACCAAACUCCAUUUCUGUCACACGAAUGCAAAGCAUCAUCACAUUGUGCUGUCUAGCACAUGAAGGCCUUCAGGACCUGCCAGCCACUGCAGCAGAGGCACAGCUAACCCAUUGCUACUGUGCUGUUUCACUCACUGCAGUUUAAAAAUUGUGUCACUUGUAGCACUUGCCAUAAUUUAUUUUCUUCUGAUGUAUGAUUUUCCUUGAUUCAUGAUAUUCAUGUAUCAGAAAAUAAAGUUGUUUAACAAAUA